ACCAGGGUAGUUUAAAUGGUUAGAACAUUAAUUUCAUGCAUUAAUAAUGAAGAUUCAAAUUCUUCUUCUGGUA
rnacentral:tRNA from 1 species